AGUAGUCAAGUCACUCCAGUGGCGUAUAUAGAAAUCAUUUUUGGGUUGGGCUAUAUAAUAGGUAGAAGUUGUUCUAUAUAGCACCUAUAGACUUAGAUGCUACCGUAGAACAACAUGAUGCUACUUUAUAUUUAACAGUUUAUAUAAAGGAAAUUUGCGAUUAGGGGUGGGGGCUGUACCACUCCCCUCCACUACAUAUGCCACUAAUUCACUCUAAUUUUAAAUUAACCUGAUCUUCUGAGCGUAAAAUUUUUGUUUUUUUUUUGAUAUGUAUUUUUUAUUUUAUUUUGUUAUUUUAAAAUUACAAAUAUUUAUAUAUUACAUAACCUACUGGGUAAGUGUUUUUGUGGACACACAGUUCAUUAUUUACCGUUUCCACUUCACGAAAUGGACAAAUUUUCAUGAAUAGAUCGAUUGUGUAUACGGGUAGUAGAGUAGUAUAAUUAUACCUACCCAGUGGCGAAACUAGGGGGUGGGGGUAACUGGGGAUUGAUCCCCGGGCGUAAAAUUUUAGUGAGUAUAAUUUUUUUGUGGGCCUUUAUAUUAAUAAUUGGUUUUAAAAGUAAGAAAAUAUUUUUAUUUCAAAUAAUAAUGAAAAACAAAAAUAAAAUUAUAUAUCAUGGCGUAAAAUAAUUAUUCGUCAUUCUAUUAUUAGAUCGCGUAGCUGCGCGAUCGGCGUGCGUCGGCGGUCGACAGUACAUUGUACAUAAUAUAGAUUAUAGAGACAGACUAUAAUAAUACAAAUUAAAUAUAAAUGAUUGUAUUUAUUAUUGAUUCAAUCGUAAAUAUAAAUAUAUUAAUUAAUAUGAACGUUUUCGUCGACGCACGGCGACGACGCGGACAAAAAUAGCAAACAAUUAAUUACCACAAUCCACAGUGAUAAUUCUGUCAUUUACCAUUUGAAAGCGCGGCCCGACCAAGCGGAAUAGCCACUAAUCGGUAUAGUACAUCAUAUUUUUAGUUAAAGAUAAUAUCAAAUAUGGCACAUAAUCCAGAUCAAUUAAUUUUGAUUGAAUUUAUAAAUUAUGUUUGGGGAUAACACAUGAAAUACGUUACUUCAAAGCUCUUAAGCAUCAAAUUUUUAUGGUGGAUAUACGGUUGCAAUUCGAAGGAGACGGAGAGCGACUUUCGCGAGGAUCGAAGAAUUAGACUUCUACGGGAGUGCAGAUAGCGUCAUAGCGGUAUCGAAGAAGAUUUCGGGAUUGAAUUAGUACCUAAACACGAAGAAGAAUGGAUAAAAAAUGCACAAUUUCAUGUCGAAGAACGUAUUAUUUUUCUACGUCUAUAUUGAUCUAUGGAUCUAUGGAUCCAUAGAUUUAUGGAUCUAGAAGUUCCAGUAUCUUCGUCAUGGAUAAUUACCCAAAGAGAAGUGAUUUUUUUCAUGCCUAAUACCUGAUAGUAUUGUUAUGUAUUAAAAUGUACGUAUGUACAUUGUCAAAGAUGGGCGGAUUAUAAUAUACACACCGUUUACAUUUGUUUUUACGAUAUUCUUAAUCCGGAUUUGAAAACAACUACACUUAAUUAUAUUAUUGAAGAUUUAAUUUAUUAAUUUUCACUGAUUCCUCCUGCACUCAAGAUGUUAGUUUCGAGGGCUUUUGUAGGGGUAUUGUUGGAUAAGUGGUCCAUUUAUGUUGGUAUACUGA
rnacentral:lncRNA from 1 species